AUUGAACGCUGGCGGCAUGCCUUACACAUGCAAGUCGAACGGCAGCACGGGAGCAAUCCUGGUGGCGAGUGGCGAACGGGUGAGUAAUAUAUCGGAACGUGCCCAGUCGUGGGGGAUAACGUAGCGAAAGCUACGCUAAUACCGCAUACGAUCUACGGAUGAAANCGGGGGAUCGCAAGACCUCGCGCGAUUGGAGCGGCCGAUAUCAGAUUAGGUAGUUGGUGAGGUAAAGGCUCACCAAGCCGACGAUCUGUAGCUGGUCUGAGAGGACGACCAGCCACACUGGGACUGAGACACGGCCCAGACUCCUACGGGAGGCAGCAGUGGGAAUUUUGGACAAUGGGCGCAAGCCUGAUCCAGCAAUGCCGCGUGCAGGAUGAAGGCCUCGGUUGUAAACUGCUUUUGUACGGAACGAAACGGUGAGCUCUAAUACAGUUUGCUAAUGACGGUACCGUAAGAAUAAGCACCGGCUAACUACGUG
rnacentral:rRNA from 1 species